AGGGGUUGCCAUGGAAACCAUGCUGUCCUGAAGCAUCAGUAGAGCUGGUCUCUUCCCCACCUUUCUUCCCCCAGAAUGUUCUGCCAUGCUGCUGAGACAAUCCUCAGACAUGUCCUGCUCUGUCCCACAUUCCAUCCCCAUGGCUGUACUAACCCCAGCUGCCCACAGCUGCUCCCACCUGCCACAGCACUGGAGCAGCUCUCAUCUGGAGACACAGGUAGCCCUUGGACAAACCAAUAUGGAGAGGAUAUUAUUUCAUAAAGCCUUCAGGAUGAGAGAAACAUAACACUCUUGUGUGCCCCUCGGGAGAAUUUAAUAGUCAUGACUUCCCAAAGCAAAUCUUUAUGAGACCUGGAGGCAGAAAAGCCAUCACUGGACAAAGAAGAGCUUGGAUUUUGAGCACUUUGGCUGAGCUAAUUCAAUUUACAGGCUCAUUAACCAGACUGCAAAUGAAAGGGGAAGACAGCACAUCUCCACGGGAACUCUCAGUGUCACAACAGUCCCUGGGUCUUAAAACCUCAAGAGCCCCUGGUGCAGCAUCAGUCUGCUCAAAAUAGGAUCCAACAGGUCAAGAA